rnacentral:tRNA from 1 species
UCUAAUAUGGCAGAAUAAUG